AUUGAACGCUGGCGGCAGGCCUAACACAUGCAAGUCGAACGAGUGGCGGACGGGUGAGUAAUGUCUGGGAAACUGCCUGAUGGAGGGGGAUAACUACUGGAAACGGUAGCUAAUACCGCAUACCCUCGGAUGUGCCCAGAUGGGAUUAGCUAGUAGGUGGGGUAAAGGCUCACCUAGGCGACGAUCCCUAGCUGGUCUGAGAGGAUGACCAGCCAGAUGGGAACUGAGACACGGUCCAGACUCCUAAGGUAGGAAGCAGUGGGGAAUAGUGCACAAUGGGCGCAAGCCUGAUGCAGCCAUGCCGCGUGUAUGAAGAAGGCCGUCGGGUGGUAAAGGACUUUCAGCGGGGAGGCGUUACCCGCAGAAGAAGCACCGGCUAACUCCGUGCCAGCAGCCGCGGUAAUAC
rnacentral:rRNA from 1 species